rnacentral:rRNA from 1 species
UGGCGGACGGGUGAGUAACGCGUGGGUAACCUGCCUUACACAGGGGGAUAACACUUAGAAAUAGGUGCUAAUACCGCAUAAGCGCACAGUGUCGCAUGAUACAGUGUGAAAAACUCCGGUGGUACAGGAUGGACCCGCGUCUGAUUAGCUGGUUGGCGGGGUAACGGCCCACCAAGGCGACGAUCAGUAGCCGGCCUGAGAGGGUGAACGGCCACAUUGGGACUGAGACACGGCCCAAACUCCUACGGAAGGCAGCAG